rnacentral:rRNA from 1 species
UACGUAGGGGGCAAGCGUUGUCCGGAUUUAUUGGGCGUAAAGAGCGUCUAGGCGGCCUGACAGGUCUGCUGUGAAAACUCGAGGCUCAACCUCGAGAUGUCGGCGGAAACCGUCUGGCUAGAGUCCGGAAGAGGAGAGUGGAAUUCCUGGUGUAGCGGUGAAAUGCGCAGAUAUCAGGAAGAACACCUAUGGCGAAGGCAGCUCUCUGGGACGGUACUGACGCUGAGACGCGAAAGCGUGGGGAGCGAACAGG